UAUUACCAGAACCCCUGGCAGCUCCUCAUUUGUAUUUAUCUGCCACAGUCAGUUUCCUUUCCAGGGACUCUUCCUAAUCCUUUGCUUGGUAUCUGCUCCAGACACAGCAGGGAUGUGCCACCCUCCAGGCAAAGGUGACAGCGGGUGGCACUGGCAGUGAGGUGGCCUCUUCCAGCAGGGACAUGCCAGCCCAGCCAGGGGCACAGAGGGGACCUUCCUGCUCCAGCACCCAGCUGGUGACAGCGCUCAAGCAGCGUGAGGACACCUCAGGCCCAGCUCUGCAUCAGCCACGGCAGCUCCUGUCCCUUCCAGCACAUUCCAGGAAUGCUGCUGGCUCUGGAACCCCAGGCAGGCUGAGCAGGAGAAGAGGAAUUGGAUUUACCCUGGGAUGCCCAUGGGGGGUCCCAACAGCUCAAAACCCCCUCCCAUGAGUGCUGCUGUCCCACAGGUCUGGCACUGCCCCACACCCACCCCUGUUCCUGACUGCUGAGCUGCACUGGCUGGUGCUGGGUGACACAGCCACUGCCAGCUGUGCCCCAGCAGCUGCCACUGCUCCAAGGGACACCCUGGUGCUGGAGAGGGACAGGCCAGGCACACCUGACACCCUGGUGUGAGUGCUUCUCCUGGGGCUGUGCAGUGAUUGGAAAUCAGCAUCUUAUUUAUAGCCUAUUUAUGCACUGAGCAAUGCAAAUGCUGUCCCAGCAAUAAAUGAAUUCCUGACAUGCAAUGCAAAAGGAACAGCAGUGCAAAAACUACCCAGGGAAAUGGAGAGGCUGCUCCAGCAGGGAAAUCUGCUCCUCUCCAGAGCCUGCCAAGGCACUGAGAGCUGGACAGACAAGAGCUGCUCCAGGGCUUAAGGUACAAGGUUGGGACACCCCCAGCAGGGCCCCCUGCCCUGUCCCUACACCAGGAGGGACCCAUGGGAUUUGGGAUGG